GACAGAGGCCUCGAGCGUUAGGCGGAAUCACUGGGCUUAAAGCGUGUGUAGGCGGAUCGUUAAGUGCCUUGUGAAAUCCCACGGCUUAACUGUGGAACGGCUGGGCAUACUGGCGGUCUUGAGCCAUCUAGGGGCGACUGGAACAAACGGUGGAGCGGUGAAAUGCGUAGAUAUCGUUUGGAACGCCAAUGGUGAAAACAGGUCGCUGGGGAUGUGCUGACGCUGAGACACGAAAGCCAGGGGAGCAAACGGG
rnacentral:rRNA from 1 species